GUGAAAUAACCGCUUUUUACUGAAUAAUUACCUGAUUUUGUGUGCAUCCAUACCAGUUGAUCCUCUUCAUCAGGUAAGCCAAUGGGUGUGGCUAGAAUUUCUCGUACCGUUCGGUCGUCAAACAUUGAAUGUAGAAGAGGCUCAUUCCAUGUUCCUGUGUCUGGAUUGAUUAUAUUUGAUACUUUGUCUGGUUCAUGGUUUGAUGCUGGUCCUCCUAUUGUGCCGCUUUUUAACCACCUCUCUGUUCUGAUUGAUGUUUUUUUUCCAUUUCCUAUCCGGUUCAUCACCUGAGGAGCAACUGAAUCCCUUGCCUUGAUGAGGCUCUGCCAUCCCCACGAGGGCCGUGAGCCUUUGCCAGCAUGCCAAAAAUCUCCAUCUAUCCAGUUUGGAGUUGACCAGAGCUAGGAUCCAUGCGAACAUGUCUUUCUUGGAUUGCCCCCAGUCUGAAGGAAGAAGAUAGAGUCAUCGGCAAAGAGUAGAUGAGAUAAGGUAGGGCAGUGGUUGUUCAACUUGAUCCCAGUAAGAGAGCCCUCCUGUACAGCUUUCUUCAUUAGAAUGGAGAGCACAUUGGCGACGAUGAUAAAGAGGUAAGGUGAGAGGGGGUCUCCUUGGUGCAAUCCACGGGUAGGUUUGAAUGAAGGUAAAGGCUCUCCAUUUAAGUUUAUGCUGAAAGAUACUGUGCUCACGCAUUGCAUGAUCCUUUGAAUCCAGAAAUCACAGAAGCCUAAUUGUGUUAGACAAGCCUGUAGAAAGUCCCACUCUAUGCGAUCGUACGUCUUUUGCAUGUCUAGUUUUAGGACUGCUUGAAAUUUUUUCUUCCUGUUACUGGUUCGCAGCCUAUGCAGCACCUCCUGAACCAUCAGUAUGUUGUCCUGAAUCUGCCUACCUCCCACAAAGGCGCUCUGUUCCUCUGCGAUUAUGUAUGGUAGAAUUGGUUUGAGCCUGUUUGUGAGUACUUUGGAAAUGAUUUUAUAUAGGAAGUUGCAUAGACUAAUUGGGCGGUAUUGCUCCAGUUUUUCAGGCUGUGGGACUUUUGGAAUAAGUGUAAUGAGUGUUUUGUUUAAUGUAGGAUCAAGCUGACCGGAAUUGAAGAAAGACUGUAUUUCUUGGAAAAUCCCCUUGGAGAUUGCUGGCCAAUUCUCUUUAUAGAAUAUUCCGUGAAACCUGUCGGGACCGGGAGCCUUGAAAGCUCCAAGCUGUAGCAUUGCUGUGGUAAUUUCCUCCUCAGUGAGUGGGGCUAUCAAGGUUCUGGAGUUCUCCUUUUAGCCAGUUGACCCUGUUCCUUGCAUGGCCGAACUUGUGCUUGCUCCACUGUGUCAGCCUCUGCUGUACUUGCUUCAGUUUAUCAGCCAAGGUUGAGCCAGGGAUAACAAGAGAGGAGUAUGAUCAGAGCCUAUCGCCGGGAGAGCAAUGCAUUCGGCCUCUGGGUGUAGGAGCACCCCUUGCUUUCGAGAUCCAUGAGGGAGCAUUGAUUAACGAAGCUUCUGAAAGUAGUUAGCCUGU